GACAGGAGGGUGCAAACGUUUAUUCGGAAUUACUGGGCGUAAAGCGCACGUAGGCGGCUUUGUAAGUAAGAGGUGAAAGCCCAGAGCUCAACUCUGGAAUUGCCUUUUAGACUGCAUCGCUUGAAUCAUGGAGAGGUCAGUGGAAUUCCGAGUGUAGAGGUGAAAUUCGUAGAUAUUCGGAAGAACACCAGUGGCGAAGGCGCUGACUGGACAUGUAUUGACGCUGAGGUGCGAAAGCGUGGGAGCAACAGG
rnacentral:rRNA from 1 species